AGACUCAAGACUACAAAUCCCUGCAAGCUCCAGCACGUAAUCUCCAGUUGACACCUUUGCUAACAGGAUGCCGGUGGGCGGAGUUGGGAGGGUCGUCAGCUGCAUGGGAAACACCUGGGCUAGGUGGAGGAGAUUCUCUCCAUGCAGACACCUUUCUAGAUUUUGUUGUGUAUCUUGGUAGCCUUUUGGUUGUUUGCUUCGGCACCGUUCAACACCCUGCAUUAUCACAUUCAUGCAAAACACUCACUUACACUACUGAUUACUGAUUACACACACCAUUGUAUAUUGUACUUAGUUUACUAUAUUUAAUAAAUAUAUGUUUUGUUAUUCCUUA